GACGAACGCUGGCGGCGUGCCUAAUACAUGCAAGUAGAGCGCACAGUUUAUACCGUAGCUUGCUACACCAUAAACUGUGAGUUGCGAACGGGUGAGUAACGCGUAGGUAACCUGCCUGGUAGCGGGGGAUAACUAUUGGAAACGAUAGCUAAUACCGCAUAAUAUUGAUUAUUGCAUGAUAAUUGAUUGAAAGAUGCUAUUGCAUCACUACCAGAUGGACCUGCGUUGUAUUAGCUAGUAGGUGAGGUAACGGCUCACCUAGGCGACGAUACAUAGCCGACCUGAGAGGGUGAUCGGCCACACUGGGACUGAGACACGGCCCAGACUCCUACGGGAGGCAGCAGUAGGGAAUCUUCGGCAAUAGACGAAAGUCUGACCGAGCAACGCCGCGUGAGUGAAGAAGGUUUUCGGAUCGUAAAGCUCUGUUGUAAGAGAAGAACGGGUGUGAGAGUGGAAAGUUCACACUGUGACGGUAUCUUACCAGAAAGGGACGGCUAACUACGUG
rnacentral:rRNA from 1 species